GUGCCAGCCGCCGCGGUAAUACGUAGGUGGCGAGCGUUGUCCGGAAUUACUGGGCGUAAAGGGCGUGUAGGCGGGGGGACAAGUCAGAUGUGAAAUACUGCAGCUUAACUGCGGGGCUGCAUCUGAAACUGUUCUUCUUGAGUGUCGGAGAGGAAAGUGGAAUUCCCAGUGUAGCGGUGAAAUGCGUAGAGAUUGGGAGGAACACCAGUGGCGAAGGCGGCUUUCUGGACGACAACUGACGCUGAGGCGCGAAAGCGUGGGGAGCAAACAGGAUUAGAUACCCUGGUAGUCCACGCUGUAAACGAUGGAUACUAGGUGUAGGAGGUAUCGACCCCUUCUGUGCCGGAGUUAACACAAUAAGUAUCCCGCCUGGGGAGUACGGCCGCAAGGUUGAAACUCAAAUGAAUUGACGG
rnacentral:rRNA from 1 species